rnacentral:rRNA from 1 species
UACGGGGGGGGCAAGCGGUUGUUCGGAAUUACUGGGCGUAAAGGGCGUGUAGGCGGCCAACUAAGUCCGACGUGAAAUCCCCAGGCUUAACCUGGGAACUGCGUCGGAUACUGGAUGGCUUGAAUCCGGGAGAGGGAUGCGGAAUUCCAGGUGGUAGCGGUGAAAUGCGUAGAUAUCUGGAGGAACACCGGUGGCGAAGGCGGCAUCCUGGACCGGCAUUGACGCUAAAGCGCGAAAGCCAGGGGAGCAAACGGG